AGCUGUGAUGACGAGGGAAUUAUAGUACCGAAGUUCCUGAUUCCACACUGCCAAGAAAAGCCUCUAGCGAGGCGGGAGGUGCCCGUACCGCAAACCGACACAGGGAGGCGAGGAGAGAAUCCUAAGGGGAUCGAGAGAACUCUCGUUAAGGAACUCGGCAAAAUGACCCCGUAACUUCGGGAGAAGGGGUGCUCUGGUAGGGGGUAUAGCCCGAGAGAGCCGCAGUGAAUAG
rnacentral:rRNA from 1 species